rnacentral:rRNA from 1 species
UACGGAGGAUCCGAGCGUUAUCCGGAAUCAUUGGGUUUAAAGGGUCCGUAGGCGGCCUUGUAAGUCAGUGGUGAAAUCUCACGGCUCAACCGUGAAAUGGCCAUUGAUACUGCAGGGCUUGAAUAAUCGGGAAGCAGCUAGAAUAUGUAGUGUAGCGGUGAAAUGCUUAGAUAUUACAUGGAAUACCGAUUGCGAAGGCAGGCUGCUACCGGUUUAUUGACGCUGAUGGACGAAAGCGUGGGGAGCGAACAGGAUUAGAUACCCUGGUAGUCCACGCUGUAAACGAUGGAUACUAGCUGCUGGGGUGUAAGCUUCAGUGGCUAAGCGAAAGUGAUAAGUAUCCCACCUGGGGAGUACGAACGCAAGUUUGAA